GUUGUAGCUCAGUAGUACAGCAUCUGCUUUGCAUGCAGAAAGUCCCAGGUUCCACUCCUGGCAUCUCCA